rfam:Nematostella vectensis strain CH2 x CH6 NEMVEscaffold_39_Cont6475, whole genome shotgun sequence.
AGCUCAGUGGUCUAGUGGUAUGAUUAUGGCUUUGGGAGCUAGAGGUCACGGGUUCGAUUCCCGUCAGAGCCC